rnacentral:rRNA from 1 species
UACGUAGGGUCCGAGCGUUGUCCGGAAUUACUGGGCGUAAAGAGCUCGUAGGUGGUUUGUCGCGUUGUUCGUGAAAACUCACAGCUUAACUGUGGGCGUGCGGGCGAUACGGGCAGACUAGAGUACUGCAGGGGAGACUGGAAUUCCUGGUGUAGCGGUGGAAUGCGCAGAUAUCAGGAGGAACACCGGUGGCGAAGGCGGGUCUCUGGGCAACAACUGACGCUGAGGAGCGAAAGCGUGGGGAGCGAACAGG